UCACUCGCAUGGAGCAAGUUGCAAGGUUGUGAGAUAUUCUCUGGAGCGAUGCACAUAGCAAGAGCCAAGGGAGGCCUUCUGGCCAGCACCUCAUGAGGGACCAAGGCCUUGAUCCAAGAGCUACGAAGAAUGGAGUCUUGUCAAUUACACGGAAUCUUCGUUGGAUCCAGAGCUCCAGCUCCCAGUACAGAAGCCAAAGGAUGACAAACUUUCCUUUUCUCUACUCCUGGCAUUUAUAGUAUCAGUAGGCAUACAAGGGUUUAUUAAAGCAGAGACAAUGUGUCCCCAGUAAGUAGCACAGUACUUG